UGGGUGUCGUCAGCUCGUGUCGUGAGAUGUUGGGUUAAGUCCCGCAACGAGCGCAACCCUUGUCCCUAGUUGCUACGCAAGAGCACUCUAGGGAGACUGCCGGUGACAAACCGGAGGAAGGUGGGGAUGACGUCAAGUCCUCAUGGCCCUUAUGGGUAGGGCUUCACACGUCAUACAAUGGUCGGAACAGAGGGUCGCCAACCCGCGAGGGGGAGCCAAUCCCAGAAAACCGAUCGUAGUCCGGAUCGCACUCUGCAACUCGAGUGCGUGAAGCUGGAAUCGCUAGUAAUCGCGGAUCAGCAUGCCGCGGUGAAUACGUUCCCGGGCC
rnacentral:rRNA from 1 species